CCUACGGGUGGCAGCAGUGGGGAAUAUUGCGCAAUGGGCGAAAGCCUGACGCAGCGACGCCGCGUGAGGGAUGAAGGUCUUCGGAUCGUAAACCUCUGUCAGCAGGGAAGAACGGUCACUGUGCUAAUCAGCAGUGAAUUGACGGUACCUUCAAAGGAAUCACCGCCUAACUCCGUGCCAGCAGCCGCGGUAAUACGGCGGGUGCGAGCGUUAAUGGGAAUUACUGGGCGUAAAGCGCUCGUAGGCGGUAUGUCAAGUCAAGGGUGAAAGCCCCGCGCUCAACGUGGGAACUGCCUUUGAAACUGGAAAACUGGAGUGUGUGAGAGGAUAGUGGAAUUCCAGGUGUAGGAGUGAAAUCCGUAGAUAUCUGGAGGAACAUCAGUGGCGAAGGCGACUAUCUGGCACAUAACUGACGCUGAGGAGCGAAAGCGUGGGUAGCAAACAGGAUUAGAUACCCCAGUAGUC
rnacentral:rRNA from 1 species